rnacentral:lncRNA from 1 species
AGCUAUGAUGAAGAGGGUGCUAGAAAAACAAACAAAAAACACUAUAAUUUACAGCAUGAACUACAGGCCAUUUCCGAUGUGAUAUAUGAUAGGUCAACUGCGUGUUGGUUAUUUCCUAAGCUGAGAUUGGCAGCGGAAAAGGCAGGGUCACAAUCAUUUCAUGGGAAGAUUUGGGCGCGGGAGGAUGGUAUUAGCCAGCUCGUCAUUUAACUUGACGGGAAGGGGUGGCAUCUGCUUCAUUACGUCCGGCGUGUCAUUCAACCUGCAAAUGAAAAAUGAAACCGAUGAUUACUUUCUAUCUGAAAAAUUGAAAGCCAAGUCUGAACUCUCAAGUCAUGAUCAUUCUUCCUUAUUCUAAUUGCUUUGAAGGUACCUAGAAAAAGCACACGCAGAAGUAACAGAUUCUAAUAAUUGCUGAAUGGAGCAGGUUCUCACAAUUUUUUUUCCACCUCCACCAUGUAAAUACUGUAAUGAAGCAAAUUUAGACUCAGCAGGAUAAAAGGCAACAACGUUAAAUGCUCAAGCUGGACUUGAGCUCAAGAAAUUGGAUCAGCUCCAUCAGCAUUUACUCACUCAGCCAACGGGCCUGUUUUUCUUUUUUUUUUAUCGUUUUCGCAUUUUUCUAGUUUGGCUAAAGAAUUCAGUGCUGCAGACAGCUGAAAUUGCAGAUAUUUUCAAAUGUCCAAAUAAUAUGGCCAUAGCUCAUUGGUGUCAACUUGGGAGUUGGUGAAAUAAGCACCAAUUCAACUACUGAGAAGAAGUUCUUUGAUCAUAGGAUAACAUGUGUUCUUGAAAGUUCCAAAAGAGAUAUACCAAAGUCUACUGGAGUUGAUCUGGGAAUGUGUGAAGUCACGAAGGCCUACUAUUGAACAGAAGCUCCUCACUAAAGUCCCAUAUCACAAUUCUUUGCAUGAAUGCAUCCUUAACUAUUCAAAUACAAAUAACUGGAAAUAAAAUUUGCAUUUUCAUAGCCAUUCAGCACAAGCUUUGGCCAGUUAGAUAAAAAAAUACUCCCUUCGUCCCAUUUUGUUUGUAUGGUUUGACAAAACGCACAUAUUAAGAAUUUAGUCAAUAAAAGUUAUUUUACCCUUAAUAACUCAUUAAGGUGCUAAAAGUCAUUGAUUCAAUGAACAAUUAUAAAGGUUAUUAUGAGAAAAAUAAUUGUUCUCAUGUCUAAAUUUACACCGUCUUUAUCUAAAUCAUCAUUUCUUUGCUUUAUUGGCAAAAUUAGUUGUUUUGGUAGCGUUUAGUUGUUAGUUGUUUGAGUAGCCUUGCCUUUUAUAAAACAGUAAAAGUUAAAUAUUACAUUGAUUAGAUUUUUAUAAAAUGUUGCCUUAACUUAUAAAAAUUAGUUCAAAUGCUAGUGUUUUGACUAAAAGUUAUUUAAAAAGCUAUUGUUAAACACACCCGUAGUCCUAACCAAAGCUAUCAGCUUUUGGUUAUUAUAGACAGACAAAUUUAUUUCCAUAUCAUCCACACUUACAAAUCUUGUUCGUAUUACAAGUCUUUGAAUUAAAAAUCGCUACAAUUGAAUAAAAAUCCUAUGGCUACAAGACCACUUCUUCGCUUUGUUUGCCAAAAAUGCUAGGCCCAAAUGUUGAAUAGACAAUUUCAACCAACAGAGGAAACUGCAGAAGUGCAAACAAGGAGACAGGUACACAAGCCACAGCUCCAACUGGAACUGCAAUCCACUGGAUUUUAUAAAACAAAACCAAGUGAAAAGCUCCACUGAAGGCUGCUAACAUGGAAGCUAUUGAGAAAAAUAAGGUUAUAAGACCAAUGCUGAAUCUCAUAGGCAAGGCUUUAAGAAAAUCUUCUUCUGCAUAUCGGGAUGUGAGCAUUCCUAGAAACAUUAGCAGCGAAGUAGAUGAAGAGAAAAGGGCUAAGACAUCUGAAAUAGCGAAAAUCAUAAAAGAUGUUUGGUUUAAGUAAUUGGGAAUCCCUUGACCACUGUUGCCACCUGGAACAGUAAAAGCUGCUGCAAAAACUACAGUAAGAACAAGUGCAGCAACAGUUGCACAUGAUGUUGCUGUUCCCUUCAUCCAUUUCUCGCCUUUCUUAACCAGAUCCUUGUGCUUCUCAGUGAACACCUCUCUUGGAGUUUUAUCUUCUUUAUUUUUCUCUUCUUUGUAUGAUGGCUGGACAACGUUCUCCACUUCCUGUGCAAAAUUUUACAACUGAUUUAUGGAAAAUAAACUAGGAAAUUAAGAUUGUCUGUUCUAGGUUUAUAUUUAUAUAUAACCUUAAACCAUUGCAGUUCUCUUUGCAUUUGAAAAGCAGCACCAGAAAUUCUGGUUGAAGGCUGCAACUCCCCCGCUAAAUGCAACAUGUUGUUGCCUGAUUUAUCUUGCAUUGCUGUAAGAAAAUGCUUAUGCGUACCCAUUUGAUAUAAGAGAUUAAAGAUUCUUUCUUGGCGGUAUUGAACGGCAAGAUGAAAGAUUGUAAGCCCAUCGUUUUUAUUGAAAAGCCAAAGUACUUGAGGGUAGGCUUUAAUAACCUCUAUAACAAAUUCUUGAUUACCGGAUCUAGCAGCUCUCCAAGAUGCAGGUCCUAAAACAUUAUCAGCUUGGUCUACACCUGCUUUUCUAACUUCAGAAAUCAAGAGUUUCAGUAGUUCCUUGGCUUGCUUAUUCAUCAAUACUGUAUUUUGUAUGCGGGGUAGAAAUUGAAAUUGCUUCAGUUCUUUAUUGUGUUCUCUUAUUCUCCCUUUUUGAUUCUCAAUAUCUCCAUCUCCAGGAACGGUUUCUCUAUUCGCAUAAAUACCUACAAAAUCUGCAAUAAAAAAGGAACAUUGUCUGUUUGAUUCAUGGAAAAUAAUAAUUUGCAAUGAAUAGCAUAGAUGAAUUAAGAUCACCAGGACAAAAAUGAUACAAUAGGGUCCCACAAUAUCCAAGCCGGCUUCCAUUUGCAAAUACUUUAGAUUUUUCCGUCAAUGCAUAUAAAGCAGUUGAACCUCCUUGGCCUUCACGUGCUAAUGCAGGAUAGCGGUUCAAUACAUCAAUUGCAAUGUCUGUCAUGAAGAAUAAUUUUGGCAUUAAUGUUAGGUACGUAAACCAUAUUUGAAAUAAAGCAUAGUAAACCCGGUUGACUAACGACUUUUGAACUAUCUUUUAGUGUUUUGAUCGGCUCAAAACUUUUUUUUUUUUUACAAUAGGCCAUAUUUUUUUUUACAAUAGGCCCAUUGUUUUUUCUCCCGAAUUCAAUUAAUUAAACGGCUAAUAUCAUUUUCGUCAUUUUAAGUUAACCAACUAAAUAAACAAUUAUUUCUAUCGAAUACUUCUAAUUUAAACUCCCUUUAUUAAUAGCUACCAAUUAAUAUCUACUAAAAUAACUAAUAUUACCCGACCAUCAGACCAUGAAUACAAGAAAUUGCACAAACCGUAAAAAUCAGCAAUUAUCAGGUAACGGACAAGUUGGACACCACUUUCACCAGCAAAAGGACUUGGAUACUCAUCCUUCGUCGCUGAUAGAAGAAAACUGACAGUUUCUUUAUGGCCAUAUUGAGCAGCGUCACAGAGUGGCACCUGGUUAUGAUCGUUUGUUGCUUGAGUUAAUUUUGGAUUCUUUUCCACCAGAAGCAUAGCAACUUCUUUGUUGCCACAAAUAGCAGCAUGGUGAAGGUACGUGCUACCAUUAUAAUUCUUUAUUUCUAGUGCAUCAGCUGGCAAUUUUUCUAUUAGAUACUGUAUAAAUGCAAUAGAGUGACCGCUUUUAUUGCCACAUGGAGAACAGUGUCUUUCAUGUCUGAGAUGAAAGCAGUCAGCGCUCUAGAAUCCUUUUCAAUAAUUCCUUUCGCAGUAAUCAGUUGGCCUUGUACUAUUGCAUCAUACAGUGGCAAAUAGCGGUCAUAAUCAUUCGUUUCUGCCAUUAUCUUGCUCCUUUGUCAAUCCCAAAAAAUGAAAGAAGAUGAACAACAAGAAUUUGUAAUUUUAGGUUAUUAUAAAAUGGACCGAGCCGCAAGGAUGGGAGCAGGAUAUGAUCUUAUACUAUAUUAUAAAAUGGAUCAAGUUUAACUUACUUGUCCAAGUCUUAUAUUUUCAACAAAAACAUUAUCCCAAAUCAACGCGGGAUAACAUGGGUUGUGUUCACGAUCAAAUUAGAAGCAAAAGAGUGUUGUUUUAAAGAAAGAAUUUCGAAUCUUCAUUUGUAUAUUAAUUCUUUGAGUAAAAUUGGAGGAAAUUCAACAUUGAUCACUUUUAUGCUUUUGAUUAAAGAUUAAAGGGAAAGAAUUUUGUUAGUCUUCAAUUAGGGUUCCUGACAAGUUUGAGAUUUGCAUAUUCUUUGAGUAAAAUUGGAGGAAAUUCAACAUUUAUCACUUUUAUGCUUUUGAUUAAAGAUUAAAGGGAAAGAAUUUUGUUAGUCUUCAAUUAGGGUUCCUGACAAGUUUGAGAUUUGCAUAUUCUUUGAGUAAAAUUGGAGGAAAUUCAGCAUAUAUAGCUUUUUGAUUUUGAAGAAAAUACAUUCACUCUGGAUCCAAAGCUAUGCUACAGAGUAAAAGAGGCCUUUCUUAAUUAUGUCAAGAAAAGGUUAAAACUCAACAAUUAAGUUGUACGACAAAAAUUAAAAGGAAGAUAACUUUAGCAAAAUAGAUUAUCAAAGAGUAAACUCUGCAAUUAUUAAGAGAUUGACAAGUAAGACACAUUUUUGUUGGCAAAAGGACUUGGAUCCUCACCCUUAAUUAGGCAUUGACAGAAGAUAGCUGACAGUUUCUUCAUAGCAGCAAGAAAGAGUAACACUUUGUUUUCAGAUUUUCUUGCUUGGGCUUGGAUUCAAGUUUUCAGUGUUGAAAGGCUCAACCAUAAAUGAUUCACUGAGAGAAAAGAUUGAUAAAACUAACCACUAUUUUGAUUCUUCAUCAUGUAAUUUUCUACACAAAAACCAUGCCAAAUUCUUUUGCAGGAACUACUUUUUAAAAGUAAGCUAUGAUGAAGAGGGUGCUAGAAAAACAAACAAAAAACACUAUAAUUUACAGCAUGAACUACAGGCCAUUUCCGAUGUGAUAUAUGAUAGGUCAACUGCGUGUUGGUAAUUUCCUACGCUGAGAUUGGCAGCGGAAAAGGCAAGGUCACAAUCAUUUCAUGGGAAGAUUUGGCCGCGGGAGGAUGGUAUUAGCCAGCUCGUCAUUUAACUUGACGGGAAGGGGUGGCAUCUGCUUCAUU